GGCCCCAUCGUUUAAUGGUUAGGACACGGCCCUUUCAAGGCCGCGAUGCGGGUUCGAUUCCCGCUGGGGUCA
rnacentral:tRNA from 1 species